UACAGAGGUGUCAAGCGUUGCUCGGUGUCACUGGGCUUAAAGGGCGCGUAGGCUGUGCAGUACGGCUCGGGUGAAAUCCCUCGGCCCAACCGAGGAACUGCCCGGGCGACGGCUGCGCUGGACUGCAUCAGGGGCGGAUGGAACUCCCGGUGGAGCGGUGAAAUGCGUAGAUAUCGGGAGGAACGCCGGUGGCGAAAGCGAUCCGCUGGGGUGCAAGUGACGCUGAGGCGCGAAAGCCAGGGGAGCAAACGGG
rnacentral:rRNA from 1 species